rnacentral:rRNA from 1 species
UGGGGAAUAUUGCACAAUGGGCGCAAGCCUGAUGCAGCCAUGCCGCGUGUAUGAAGAAGGCCUUCGGGUUGUAAAGCACUUUCAGCGGGGAGGAAGGCGAUAAGGUUAAUAACCUCAUCGAUUGACGUUACCCGCAGAAGAAGCACCGGCUAACUCCGUGCCAGCAGCCGCGGUAAUACGGAGGGUGCAAGCGUUAAUCGGAAUUACUGGGCGUAAAGCGCACGCAGGCGGUUGAUUGAGUCAGAUGUGAAAUCCCCGGGCUUAACCCGGGAAUUGCAUCUGAUACUGGUCAGCUAGAGUCUUGUAGAGGGGGGUAGAAUUCCAGGUGUAGCGGUGAAAUGCGUAGAGAUCUGGAGGAAUACCGGUGGCGAAGGCGGCCCCCUGGACGAAGACUGACGCUCAGGUGCGAAAGCGUGGGGAGCAAACAGG